UUACUACUACCUCCGUUCGGAGCUGCUUGUCUUUGAAAUGGAUAAAAUUGAUGUAACUAGAACUAAAAUACGUCUAGAUACAUCUAUCUCUCGGACAAGUGUUUUCGGACGGAGGAAGUACUUU
rfam:Triticum aestivum genome assembly, contig: Triticum_aestivum_CS42_TGACv1_scaffold_049411_1BS